GACGAACGCUGGCGGCGUGCCUAACACAUGCAAGUCGAACGAAGAAUGUUUUUCGGAAUAUUCUUAGUGGCGGACGGGUGAGUAACGCGUGAACAAUCUGCCCCGUACAAAGGGAUAGCCUCGGGAAACCGGGAUUAAAACCAUAUAACACUUAACUGCCGCAUGGUAGUGAAGUCAAAUCGAUUAAGAGGUAUGGGAUGAGUUCGCGUCUGAUUAGCUAGUUGGUGAGGUAAGGGCUCACCAAGGCGACGAUCAGUAGCCGGCCUGAGAGGGUGAACGGCCACACUGGAACUGAGACACGGUCCAGACUCCUACGGGAGGCAGCAGUGGGGAAUAUUGCACAAUGGAGGGAACUCUGAUGCAGCGACGCCGCGUGAGUGAAGAAGGUCUUCGGAUCGUAAAACUCUGUCCUUGGUGAAGAAAGGACGGUAGCCAAGGAGGAAGCCCCGGCUAACUACGUG
rnacentral:rRNA from 1 species